rnacentral:lncRNA from 1 species
GAGCAGAUGAUGAAAUAAAACCAUUAGUUGCUUAUUGGUUAUUCCAUGAAGCUAUGCUAAUCGAGCUUUUUAAAACUGAUGCUCAAACCAUACAUAGUCCAUAUAAGAAAAAGGGUGAAUGACCCAUUGUAUUGUUUCUGGUAGCUUGAAACUAUGAUUAUUUGAGUAGAUGAUGAAAUAAAAUCAUUGAUUGCUUAUUGGUUAUUCCAUGAAGCUAUCCUAAUCGAGCUUUUUAAAACUGAUGCUCA